rnacentral:rRNA from 1 species
CCAAGGAGUCUAACAUGUGUGCGAGUCGUAGGGUGCGUACGAAACCCGAAGGCAAAGUGAAAGCACGGGCCAAUUCAUUGGCCGAGGCGGGAUCUGUCCGUUUCCCCUCGCGGGAAUACGGGCGGCGCACCGCCGGCCCGUCUCGACCGCAGCGUCGGUGAGGCGGAGCAAGAGCAGACACGUUGGGACCCGAAAGAUGGUGAACUAUUCCUAGGCAGGACGAAGCCAGAGGAAACUCUGGUGGAGGUCCGUAGCGUUUCUGACGUGCAAAUCGAUCGUCAGACCUGGGUAUAGGGGCGAAAGACUAAUCGAACCAUCUAGUAGCUGGUUCCCUCCGAAGUUUCCCUCAGGAUAGCUGGCUCUCGAGCGAAACACAGUCUCAUCCGGUAAAGCGAAUGAUUAGAGGCCUUGGGGCCGAAACGACCUCAACCUAUUCUCAAACUUUCAAUGGGUGAGAAGUCCGGCUUGCUCGACUGAAGCCCGGACGUCGGAUGCGAGUGCCCAGUGGGCCAC